UUUUCUUAGAGGUCUGUGUGUGGUGCAAUGGUAUUUAAGCUUGCCUUGCUUAGACAAACUUUUCUGUGCUCUUCCAGAGUCUUUGAGAAGGAACAGCUUCAGGACAGCUGGGACUUGUCUUCCAGAAUUUUUUCUGUGUGGCUCCAUGAUGAUGUGUGAAUGGUCUCCUGGAUCGCAACCCCGGUGGAGUUUGCAUCUGACCUGGCAUUAAAAGGAAGGACUCAUACUUGGCAUAUAUUCUUUCAGAUUAAAAUUGCAAAUGACUGGCAUGCUACAGAGAACCAUCCGCUACUACCAACUGCCAGCUUCCCCUAAAAUGUGCUGGGCUGCCUCAGAUGACACUUUAUUCCUCCUGGCUUCUCAAAACUACAGCCCCAGAUUGCUGCUUCCUACAGAGGAACUGGAUGAUGGAAUAAAAUUGGGAGACCACGUUCGCCA
rnacentral:lncRNA from 1 species